rnacentral:rRNA from 1 species
UACGGAGGGUGCAAGCGUUAUCCGGAUUUACUGGGUUUAAAGGGUGUGUAGGCGGACUUUUAAGUCAGGGGUGAAAUCCCGAGGCUCAACCUCGGAACUGCCUUUGAUACUAUUGGUCUUGAAUGUUGUUGAGGUGGGCGGAACGGGUCAUGUAGCGGUGAAAUGCAUAGAUAUGACCCGGAACACCGAUUGCGAAGGCAGCCCGCUAAGCAACUAUUGACGCUGAGGCACGAAAGCGUGGGGAGCAAACAGGA